rnacentral:rRNA from 1 species
GAGUUUGAUCCUGGCUCAGAUUGAACGCUGGCGGCAGGCCUAACACAUGCAAGUCGAGCGGAUGACGGGAGCUUGCUCCUUGAUUCAGCGGCGGACGGGUGAGUAAUGCCUAGGAAUCUGCCUGGUAGUGGGGGACAACGUUUCGAAAGGAACGCUAAUACCGCAUACGUCCUACGGGAGAAAGCAGGGGACCUUCGGGCCUUGCGCUAUCAGAUGAGCCUAGGUCGGAUUAGCUAGUUGGUGGGGUAAUGGCUCACCAAGGCGACGAUCCGUAACUGGUCUGAGAGGAUGAUCAGUCACACUGGAACUGAGACACGGUCCAGACUCCUACGGGAGGCAGCAGUGGGGAAUAUUGGACAAUGGGCGAAAGCCUGAUCCAGCCAUGCCGCGUGUGUGAAGAAGGUCUUCGGAUUGUAAAGCACGUUUAAGUUGGGAGGAAGGGCAGUAAGUUAAUACCUUGCUGUUUUGACGUUACCGACAGAAUAAGCACCGG